AACGCCAUGGACAGCUGGGGACAAAAGUUGCUGUUUCCGAGGAGAAGACAUUUGUUUGCCCCUUUUUUGAAUCUCAUAUCCAGUGUUUUUCUUCACAGGUUUUGCACAGUAGGGACCAGGAAGCCCUCGGGACACUGCCGAGAAAGGACUGCUCGAGGGAAGACCUGUGGGGAUCAUGGAAUCUAUUCCAGAGGAAACUAACCAACAAUGAACAACUUCUACUAAAACUACCCCUGGAUGUAAUGGUUGCAUGCAUCAUUCCUUUAAUUGAGCAGAGUUAACUGGAUCAAAUUAUUUAUGGGAGAGAGAGGGAAAGCUAUACAGAAUUACAGUAAUUUUAAAUUUCCACCAAUAUACUCUUUGUAAGUGAAUCACUCCAU